CAUCGAGGUCCGCCUCCUCUGAUGUCAUCCGAUUAAUGUGUGUGUGUGUGUAUAUGUAUAUAUACACACACACACACUAAUCGGAUGACAUCAGAGGAGGCAGACC